CUGGAGAAAGCUUCUGCACUGAGAUGUGAGCAGAGGAUGCCACCCACCUGUAGUAAUGGCCAUGGUGACGGAGUAUGUUUGAGUAGCACCAUCACUAAGGUUCUGUAUAUUUGAUGAUCUAGGAUUUACAUCCACACCACUUCUGUUACCGAGAAUUAGAACAGAGGAGGCUUGGGUCUUGCUGGUGCGGACAUCUCCUAAUUCCAAACAUCUCCUAAAUCCAACAAGAAGAAAGAAGAUGAGAAGGUAGAGCAAAAAGAAGG
ensembl:lncRNA